GCCUUGGUAGCUCAGUUGGUAGAGCAGAGGACUGAAAAUCCUCGUGUCGGUGGUUCGAUUCCGCCCCAAGGCA
rnacentral:tRNA from 1 species